rnacentral:rRNA from 1 species
UGGGGAAUAUUGGACAAUGGGGGCAACCCUGAUCCAGCCAUGCCGCGUGUGUGAAGAAGGCCUUUUGGUUGUAAAGCACUUUAAGCAGUGAAGAAGACUCCAUGGUUAAUACCCAUGGACGAUGACAUUAGCUGCAGAAUAAGCACCGGCUAACUCUGUGCCAGCAGCCGCGGUAAUACAGAGGGUGCAAGCGUUAAUCGGAAUUACUGGGCGUAAAGCGAGCGUAGGUGGCUUGAUAAGUCAGAUGUGAAAGCCCCGGGCUUAACCUGGGAACGGCAUCUGAUACUGUUAGGCUAGAGUAGGUGAGAGGAAGGUAGAAUUCCAGGUGUAGCGGUGAAAUGCGUAGAGAUCUGGAGGAAUACCGAUGGCGAAGGCAGCCUUCUGGCAUCAUACUGACACUGAGGUUCGAAAGCGUGGGUAGCAAACAG